CGGAGACGUCGGCGUGGGCCUCGGGAAGAGUUAUCUUUUCUAUUUAACAGCCUGCCCACCCUGGAAACGACUCAGUCGGAGGUAGGGUCCAGCGGCUGGAAGGCGUCGAACAGCCAACUCAGAACUGGUACGGACAAGGGGAAUCCGAUUGUUUAAUUAAAACAAAUCAUUGCGAUGGUCCCUGCGGAUGAUUACGCAAUGUGAUUUCUACCUAGUGCUAUGAAUGUCAAAGUGAAGAAAUUUAACCCAGCGCAGGUAAACGGCCGGAGUAACUAUGACUCUCUUAAGGUAGCCAAAUGCCUCGCCAUCUAAUUAGUGACGCGCAUGAAUAGAUUAACGAGAUUCCCACUGUCCCUGUCUACUAUCCAGCGAAACCGCAGCCAAUAGAACGGUCUUGGCAGAAUCAGCGGGGAAAGAAGACGCUGUUGAGCUUGAAUCUAGUCUGACUUUAUGAAAUGACUUGAGAGGUGUAGUAUAAGUGGGAGCCGAAAGGCGAAUGUGAAAUACCACUACUUAUAACGUUAUUGUCAGGUGGGGAGUUUGGCUGGGGCGGCACAUCUGCUAAAAGAUAAUGCAGGUGUCCCAAGAUGAGCUCAACGAGAACAAAAAUCUCGUAUGGAAUAGAAGGUUAAAAGCUCGUUUGAUUCUGAUUUCCAAUACGAAUACCAACCAUGAAAGCGUGGCCUAACAAUCCUUUAGACCUUCGGAAUUCGGACGUUAUUUUACUUAUUGCGUGAAUCGGCAGCGGGGCACUGCCUCUCUUUUGGACCCAAGGCUUGCUUGCAGGCCGAUCCGGGCGGAAGACAUUGUCAGGUGGGGAGNNNNNNNNNNNNNNNNNNNNNNNNNNNNNNNNNNNNNNNNNNNNNNNNNNNNNNNNAGGCCGAUCCGGGCGGAAGACAUUGUCAGAUGGGGAGUUUUGCUAGGGCGGCACAUCUGUUAAAAGAUAACGCAUGUGUCCUAAGAUGAGCUCAACAAGAACACAAAUCUCGUGUGGAAAAGAAGGGUAAAAGCUCGUUUGAUUCUUAUUUCAAGUACUAAUACGAACCGUGAAAGUGUGGUUUAACGAUCCUUUUGACCUUCGAAUUGGUAGCUAGAGGUGUCAGAAAAGUUACCAUAGGGAUAACAGGCUUGUGGCAACAAAGUGUUCAUAGCGACGUUGCUUUUUUAUCCUUCGAUGUACGCUCUUAAAAUCAUUGUGAAGCAGAAUUCACCAAGUGUUGGAUUGUUCACCCACCAAUAGGGAACGUGAGCUGGGUUUAGACCGUCAUGAGACAGGUAAGUUUUACCCUACUGAUGACAGUGUCGCAAUAGUAAUUCAGCCUAGUACGAGAGGAACCGUUGAUUCGCACAAUUGGUUGAAAAGCCAGUGGCGCAAAGCUACUGUGCGCUGGAUUAUGACUGAACGCCUCUAAGUAAGAAUCCGGGCUAGAAGCAACGCAUGCGCCCGCCGUCCGCUUGCCGACCCGCAGUAGGGGCCUUUGGCCCCCAAGGACACGUGUCGUUGGCUAUGUCAUCGCGGCGGAAGAGCCGCGGUGGCCGCCUUGAAGUACAAUUUCCAUCGAGCAGAGGGUAGAAUCCUUUCCAGACGACUUAAAUACGUGACGGGGUAUUGUAAGUGGCAGAGUGGUCUUGCUGCCACGAUCCACUGAGAUUUAGCCCUUUGUCUCUCUGAUUCGUCCCUCCCCCUCCAAUCAAAUCAUUUUCUAAGUUUUCUGAUAAGAGGUUCACUCCUACCUUGAUGUUAUAUUAUACAAAGUGUUGGAAAAAACAAACAAGUCCUCAAGACCUUGGAAUGUUUACUAUUUGUACAUUAACUGGACAAUGUGACUUGACACUUAGUAACGUCGAGGGAAAUACCAAACCAAAUUACACUACUAGAGGCUUUUCGAGGUUCGCUUGAGAGGUCGAGGCCUAUGCCAAGGUCUUUCGUGGUGUCGCUUGAGAGGUCAAGGCCUAUGCCCCGUGCGCAAGGCGUGGCCAUGGCAUGAGUUAGGAUGUCCCAGGACAUGGUAGGGCGUGGCUAUGACACGGGCCAGGACGUGUCACUACGUUAAAGAACAUGACAAGACAUGGGCAUGAUGUGUCAUGACGUCGCAGGACAUGGUUGGGUGUGGCCAUGGCACGAUUCAGGACAUGGCAGGACAUGGCAGGGCGUGGCCAUGGCAUGAGUCAGGACGUCGCAGGACGCGUGGACGUUGUAGGACGAGUCAGGACAUAGCCAUGGCACGUGUCAGGACGCGGCAGGAUAUGGCAGUGGCACGUGACAGGAUGCGUCAGGACAUGGCAGGGCGUGGCCAUAGCAUAACUCAUGAAGUCGCAGGACAUGGAAGGGCGUGGCCAUGGAACGAGUCGGGACAUCGCAGGACGCGUUACGACAUGGCCAUAGUACGUGUCAGGACGCGUCAGGACAUGGCCAUGGCACGUGUCAGGACGCGUCAGGACAUUGCAGGGCGUGGCCAUGGCACGAGUCGGGACGUCACAGGACAUGGCAGGGCGUGGCCAUGGCACGAGUCAGGACGUCGCAGACGCGUCAUAACAUGGCCAUGGCACGUGUCAGGACAUGGAAGAGCGUCGCCAUGGCACGAGUGAGGACGUCAUAGGACAUGGCAGGAUAUGGCCAUGGUACGUGUUAGGACGUGUCAGGACAUGGCCAUGGCACGACAUCGCACCAAGCGGCACCACGUCGCUCGAAGCCUCACCAUUUCGCACCACGUCUAUUGCUAGCCAAUGCUUAGAAACAUGUCAAGCGCAAUGAUGUUGGUGAUCGGGGACAUGGCCAUGGCACGUGUCAGGACCAUCAGGACAUCACAGUGGCACGUGUUUAGACACGACAGGGUGUGGCCAUGGCAUGACUCAUGACGCCGCAGGACAUGGCACGACUCAAGACGUCAAAGGACGCGUCAGGACAUGGCCAUGGCACGUGUCAGGACGCGUCAGGAUAUGGCAGUGGCACGUNNNNNNNNNNNNNNNNNNNNNNNNNNNNNNNNNNNNNNNNNNNNNNNNNNNNNNNNNNNNNNNNNNNNNNNNNNNNNNNNNNNNNNNNNNNNNNNNNNNNNNNNNNNNNNNNNNNNNNNNNNNNNNNNNNNNNNNNNNNNNNNNNNNNNNNNNNNNNNNNNNNNNNNNNNNNNNNNNNNNNNNNNNNNNNNNNNNNNNNNNNNNNNNNNNNNNNNNNNNNNNNNNNNNNNNNNNGACGCGUCAGGACAUUGCAGGGCGUGGCCAUGGCACGAGUCGGGACGUCACAGGACAUGGCAGGGCGUGGCCAUGGCACGAGUCAGGACGUCGCAGACGCGUCAUAACAUGGCCAUGGCACGUGUCAGGACAUGGAAGAGCGUCGCCAUGGCACGAGUGAGGACGUCAUAGGACAUGGCAGGAUAUGGCCAUGGUACGUGUUAGGACGUGUCAGGACAUGGCCAUGGCACGACAUCGCACCAAGCGGCACCACGUCGCUCGAAGCCUCACCAUUUCGCACCACGUCUAUUGCUAGCCAAUGCUUAGAAACAUGUCAAGCGCAAUGAUGUUGGUGAUCGUUGGCGGCGGCUGUGGAAAGUCGAGGUGGUUCGAGCGGUAGCGUUCGGCGACGGUCAGUCGACGCUUGGUGGUUGCCGGCGGUUGCUUCAAAUCCUAAUCAGUUGUUGUGGUUGGGCAACAUGUCAAGCGCAAUGAUGUUGUUUGUCGUUGUUGGCGGUGGUGGAAAGUCGCGGUGGUUCGAGCGGUAUCCACCGGCGACGGUUGGUCGACGCUUUGUUGUUGGCGGCAGUUUUUCUAAAUCGGAAUCCCAUAUUGUGGUUGCGACUAUAGAGGUGCCUCGUGGUUAUUGGCGGUUGGUCAUCUAUGUGCUUUUAUAAUAAUAUUAUGUAUUUUUCCUUUUUUAAAAUAUAUUUUUUAGUAAUAUUUAUGCAAUUUUUGUUAUUUUAAAUUAUUUUUAUGUCACUUUUCAAUAAAAAUAUUUAUUCUUUUAUAUGUAACACUAUUACAAGAUGUAUUGGAAUUUUUCUCCAUCAUUUUUUCUAUUUUUAUAAUAAUUUUCAUAUUUUUAGUAUUUUAUUAAUUAUUUUUCGUUUUGGAAUAUAAUAUUUCAAAAAAAUAUUAAUUAUUAGUAAAAAAUAUAUUUUUUCUAUUUUUAUAAUAAUUUUCAUAUUUUUAGUAUUUUAUUAAGUAUUUUUCGUUUUUAAAUAAAAAUAUUUCAAAAAAAAUAUUUUUUUUGUAAAAAAUACCAUUUACAAUGUUUAAAAGUCAUUUGUAAAUAUAUUAGCCAAGUUGUACUUCUGUUUGUGCUAUGUGGUGUUGUACAUAUCUAUUAUGAUUCUCUGGCCAAAAAAUGACUACUCCUGAAACUAGGGUUUUUUUUACAAGCAUAUAUAAGGGGGGUAGAGGUGUUGAGACGCACCUCAGGUGCUUGCUGCAAGGAAGGGACGGGCAUGCAUGGGUGACGCUGGCAUGGGGCGUGGGCAUUGGGGGCAUGCACGGCUUGUCCGUGCUACGUCCACGAUAUUCCCAAACUGCGCAGGCAAUUACUCGUGUCGGCUUUUAGUACACCAGGUGGUGGCACCGCUCGUGGCAAACAUUGGCUUUUGGCAACGAAUAUCGGAGCGUCAUGCAAGUAGCGCCGCAAGGUGUCGUGCGCAUGGGGCAAAACACAGUACUUGUUGAUCGCCAUUGGAUGUUGCAGGCAAAAUCUUGAGGCGACAUCGCUCGUGGCGGCUGAUGGCAUUUGAAAACUGAACAGCAAAGCGUCGUGCAAGUAGCACCGCGAGGUGUUAUGCGCAUGGGGCGAAGCGUAGUAAGUUGUUUAUUGCCAUUGGUUGUUGUGGGUUGUGUCUGGAAUCUCUUGUGGCGGAUGAUGGCAUUCGACAACGAACGACGGAGAGUCGUGCAAGUAGCGCCGCAAGGUGCCGUGCACAUGGGACGAAGCUCAGUAGAUGUCGAUUGCCAUCGGUUGUUGCGGGCAACUUCUUUUCUGGCGGUUGAUGGCUUUCGGCAAUGGAACGGCGGAGCGUCGUGCAAGUAGCAGCGCAAGGUGCCGUGCGCAUGGGGUGAAGCUUAGUAAAUUGCCUAUUGCCAUCGAUUGUUGUGGGUUGUGUCUGGCAUUGUUCAAACCCCCUAUUCGUGCUUUGCGAGCCUUGUCUUGGCUUUGCAAUGUUGGCAUCGGCAAAAACACAUGGCUGUGCGUCACGUGUUGGAGCUGGUGUUGGCUUUGUUUCGGCGAGGCAAGUGUACGUGCGGCACAUGAGUGGUGUUCUUGUGUGGCUAGGUUGGAUCCCAGCUCGAGCAGCGACGUCCUACUCGGAUGCCUUCUCAUUCAUGUCACAAGUGCAAAUUAGGCUUGUUCGAUGUCGGUUUUCUGUGUUGCAUACAUAAUGCCAAGGCAUUAUCAAGCAUAAUUGGUCGCCUUUCGCCCCUCGCGUUCGACGUGUGGGGAGAACCAAAAGAUGCAUUUGUGUCCCAGGUUGUCUAGGAUUCGCCUUGCGAUGUCUUUGUCCAUGACUUAGCAUGCUCGGGCUCUCGAAUUUGGUAAACGCAAUGGGCACGGGGCCUUCAUUGGCUCCUUUUACCCCUAGAAUGCCCCUUACGAAUGAUGGUCAUGCUCGCCUUGGACUUGGUCGUGCCCUUUGCGGUCGGCCACGCUUAUGCGACGCCGGCUUCAAUGAGGAAUGCUACCUGGUUGAUCCUGCCAGUAGUCAUAUUCUUGUCUCAAAGAUUAAGCCAUGCAUGUGUAAGUAUUAACAAAUUAGGACUGUGAAACUCCGAAUAGCUCAUUAAAUCAGUUAUAGUUUGCUUGAUAGUAUCUACUACUCAGAUAACCGUAGUAAUUCUAGAGCUAAUACGUGCAAUAAACCCUGACUUCUGGAAGGGAUGCAUUUAUUACAUAAAAUGUCGACGCGAGCUCUGCCCGUUGAUGUGAUGAUUCAUGAUUACUCGACAGAUCCCACGGUCACCGAGUUGGAGACGCAUCAUUCAAAUUUCUUCCCUAUCAACUUUCGAUGGUAGGAUAAUGGCCUACGGUUAGGACCCUGCUUUUUGUCAUCGAGCGUGGCACGUCUGUGGCAAGGAUUUGGGCUUGAUGGCCCUGUCACUGGUUUUUGUGCGGCCAAAAUAAUCAUGCGGGUCGACGGGAUGUGGUGGACAAGUAUUGGCCAAGGCCUUGGCAUGGGCAAGGCGCGCUCGGAAAAGGCUUGAAGAGGCAGCAUUGUCAAUGUUUGGGAGGCAUGGCACGGCAUGCACGCCAAAAUCAGUGGCAUGACACUCUUGGGUUGUGGAAUCUAUGUGCGGGCUAAGCUAAGGCGAGGCGGAAAUGCGGGUUGAUGGCAAAGGCUUUCAAUAGCUAAGACAAGGCUAUGGGAAGGUAAAUACAAGCGAUGGCACGAGGAAAUUGAGGGUUGGAACGGACAAGGUAGAAAACUAGGCCAAGGCGGUGUGCGGGCGACAGCGGCGCCAUGGGUGUGCGGAAAAAUCAUGCAGCGGAUUGCAGGAAAGAAAGAAAAUACAAGCAAUGGCACGUGGAAAAUGAGGAUUGGCACGGACAAGGUAGAAAACAAGGCCAGGUAGUGUGCAGGCGGCAGCGGCGCCGGGAGUGUACGGAAAUAUCAUGGCAGCGGAUUGCGGGCGAUACAUUGGCAUCGGCAAUGUCAUGUUGAGCUAAGGCAUGACACAAGGCAGCCUUAGGGUCGAAAUUCAGCUGGCCAAGUAAAUGGCACAUGCAAUGCACAUGUAAAGCGGUUGGCGGUUACCUUGAUUUUAGGCCAUGAUCUCCCAUGAUCUCCCAUUAUCCCAUGACCUGAUUAUUGUUUGUAUAGUGGCCCCAUUUCGUGAAUAAUGGAUCCUAUGUAGUUGGGUAUGUCAACUACACGUUAGGAGCAUGAUUUAAAGAUAGUCCGAGAAGUGGCAAAAGCUGUUAGAUGACAAGUGCCAUGGGCGGUUAAGUUUAAGGGCUUCCUAUAUUAGAUAAAUAGGGCCUUUAACUUAGGCAGAAGAGCGAAGUAAUUUCGGGUGGAAAUACUAAGUGGGAAACAAGAAAGGAACGUGAGGGUUUCUAGUGUUUCAAAAAGGGGGCUAAGAUCGUGCAUGGGUAGUUCUUAGUGUUGGCCAAGAACGACCAGGUAUUCUUCGUUAAAAGUGGGCUGUGAGCGGACGGAUAGUUCAUAGCAAGUGAGGGUCCUUUGUAUAUUUUCAAUAUUAAUGCGAAGGUUGGGAAUUUGUCCUGUAUAUGUUUGUGUUCUUUAAAUUUCUUUUUUGUUGCCUAAAUUUCGUCUAAGGCAAAACUUGCUGAAAAUUGGCAAGUGUUUCGGAAGGCUGAGUCAAGCAAGGGACUUGACUGCCACGUGGGUUUGGUUUUUGGACUAGGUCAAAAACGCCCCCGUGACAAUUGGUAUCAAAGCUGAGCAGGUUUGUGGCAGUGACGAGACAAUCACUGGAAGAUUACGUGGGAAAUUUUGAGAACAUGGAUGGUGGCACAAAUGCGGAGAUGCGUCAAAGAGUUGAGCAGUUGGAAGCACUAGUUGGGCAGGCUCUUCAAAGUGAUGGUGAUUCUUCUAUUCAUGCUAGAAUGGCACGUUUGGAGGCAGAUUAUGCAGCAAGACACGAGACGACGCUGGCAGAAAUGGCCUUGGUACGCCAAGAGAAAGUUGAAUUAGGCAACGAAGUGGCUGAUCUUCGAAGGGCUUUAUAAAAUUCUGCCCUUAGAAAUGAUGAGGAUUGCUAGAUUGGCACGUUUGGAGGCAGAUUAUGCAGCGAGACACGAGACAACGCUGGCAGAAAUGGCCUUGGUAUGCCAAGAUAAAGAAGAAUUAUGCGACGAAGUGGCUGAUCUUCGAAGGGCAUUACAAAAUUCUUCCCCUAGAAAUGAUGAGCGCACUAUGUUGAGGAUUCCGGAGCCUAAGGCUUAUGGUGGUGCAAGAAGUGCCAAGGAACUGGAAAAUUUCCUGUGGGAUAUGGAGAAGUAUUUCCAGACUGCACGUGUGCCGGAUGAUCAAAAAAGUGGUGAUCAACACCAAUGUACUUGACGGACGAUGAGGUGUGGUAGCGUACAAGAAUUGCAGAUGGGGAAGGUGCUGGACUGCCCAUGCUUGGAAAUUAGGAGAUCAUGAAAAAGAAAUUAAAAUCCCAAUUCCUUCCAACAAACCCGUUGUGGAUGGCACGAGAUGGACUGCGUCACUUGAAAAAAAGUGGCACGGUAAGGGAGUAUGUCAAGGAAUUUUUGUCCUUGAUGCUGAAUGUAAGUAAUAUGGUACAAAAAGACAAGCUGCAUUACUUCAUGACUGGUUUGAAGGGAUGGGCACAAUUGGAGUGAGGAGGCAAAAUGUGCAAAGCCUCUCUACUGCCCUUGCACCAGCAGAUGCAUUGGCGGACCUGAAUAUAGGUGAUGAACCUAUUCAAACUUCACAUUCGAAGUCCGACGGAAGGAAGGACAAAGCAUGGGAAUGGAAGAGAAACGGGAAGGGCCAAGCGUCUCAAAAUGAGGAACUUGUAAUGACUGUGAGACAGGAAAAUCACAAUGGCAAGGAAAGGAACAUCGUGUACAAAUGCUGUUUCACUUGUGGUAGACCGCACUUGAAGAGGGAUUUCAUGUGCAGGCUAGGUAAAUGCAAUGCUAGCUGCGGAGGGACAGGAACAAGUGGCGGAGGAAAAUGCCAUAGUGGCAGAUGCGAGGGGAGCACCCGGGGCGGUGUUUGUCAACAACCCCUUGGGGUUGUUAGAUUGAGACGGCUGGACGAGGAAGUCGAUUUCAAAGGGUGUGGGUGUUUUGUUAGGACCCUGCUUUUUGUCAUCGGGCGUUGCACGGCUGUGGCAAGGAUUUGUGCGUGAUGGCCUUAUCAUUGGCUUAUGUGCGGGAAAAACGAUCAUGCGGGUCGACGGGCUGUAGUGGAAAAGUAUUGGCCAAGGCCUUGGCACGGGAAAGGCGCUCUUGGAAAAGGCUUGAAGAGGCAGCAUCGGCAGUGUUUGGGCGGCAUGGUACGGCAUGCGCGCCAAACUCAGUGGCAUGAUACUCUAGGGUUGUGGCAGCUAUGUGCGGGCUAAGCUAAGGCGAGACGGAUAUGCGGGUUGACGGCAAAGGCUUUCAAUAUCAAAGACUAGGCUAUUGGAAAGAAUACAAGCAAUGGCAUGAGGGAAAUGAGGGUUGGCACGGACAAGGCAGAAAAUUAGGCCAAGGGAGUGUGCAAGUGGCAGUGGCGCCGGGCGUGUGCAGAAAUAUCAUGGCUGCGGAUUGCAGGCAAGACAUUGGCAUGGGCAAUGUCAAGUUGAGCUAAGGCACGGCACAAGGUAGCCUUAGGGGCGAAAUUCAGCUGGCCUAGGAAAUGGCACAUGCAAUGCACAUGGAAUGCGGUUGGCGGUUACUUUGAUUUUAGGCCAUGAUCUCCCAUUAUCCCAUGAUUUGAUUAUUGUUUGUAUUAUUGCCCCAUUUCGUGUAUAAUGGAUCCUAAGUAGUUGGGGAUGUCAACUACAUGUUAGGAGCAUGAUUUAAUCUUAGUCCGACAAGUGGCAAAAGCUGUUAGACGACAAGUGUCAUGGGCGGUUAAGUUUAACGGCUUCCUAUAUUCUAUAAAUAGGGCCUUUAACUUAGGCAGAAGAACGAAGCAAUUUCGGGUGGAAUUACUAAGUGGGAAACAAGAGAGGAACGUGAGGGUUUCUAGUGUUUCCAAAAGGGGCUAAGGUCGUGCAUGGGCAGAUGUUAUUGUUGGCCAAGAACGACCAGGAGUUCUUCGUCAAAAGUAGGCUGUGAGCGGACGGAUAGUUCAUAGCAAGUGAGGGUCCUUUGUAUAUUUCUAUAUUAAUGCAAAGGGUGGGAAUUUGUCCUGUAUAUGUUUGUGUUCUUUAAAUUUCUGUUUUGUUGCCUAAAUUUCGUCUAAGGCAAAACUUGCUGAAAAUUGGCAAGAGUUUCGGAAGGCUGAGUCAAGCAAGGGACUUGACUGCCGCGCGGGUGAAGUUUUUGGACUAGGUCAAAAACGCCCUCGUGACACCUACUGUUAGACCCCUAAUAUUGACUUGACGGAUGUCGGGCAGAAUUCAUGUCAAGGUCUUGUGCAUUGCCCCUUGACAUGGGUUCAUUAAAGUGUUGGCAAGCAAUGUACAAGGCUGGGCGUGUUCCUUUCAAGGUUGUUGAUAGGGCUGUUCAAAAUAAAGGCAUCGCAAACAGGAAAACUGAUGGUUGCAGGACGUGCGGAGGGCCUCAUCUUUCCAAGAACUGUCAGAAUCGAGGGCGGGUAAAUGCUUUGCUUGCUACAGAAAAUAAUCGGGAUGGAGAAGGCGAAGAAGUUGUUGCUGCCUUAGUAAAUCCUUUGUAAUUGUUUAAUGUUAUCUCGUUACUGAAUGUUAUAUGUAACGAGACGAACCCUCAUUCUUUGCUGAUGCACAUCAAAAUGAGAACUGGGGACAGAAGUGUGAUAGCAAUGGUAGAUACUGGCGCUACUCACAUCUUUGUUUUUUCCAGUUGGUGCAUAAGUAUCAAUUGAGAGUGUCGAAAUGUCCCUCUUACAUAAAGACUUUGAAUACCAAAGCACAAGCCAUUGUGGGUAUGGCUUAUGAUGUUCCUAUGUCUGUUUGGAACUGGAAAGGGAAGGUCAAUUUGAUGGUGAUUCCAAUAGAAAAGUUUGAGGUGAUCAUCAGAAUUGUCUUCAUGCGGAAACAUCACUUUGUUGCAAUGCCUCAUGUUGAACGGAGUGAUGAUCAUGAAUGAUAUCGCUCCUGGUUUCAUGAAAGCUGUUUAUCCUUAUGAAAGAGAAGAAAUUCAAAGUAAGGCUUCGUUAAUUUCUGCCAUGAUUGUUGAAAAAGGUUUGAAGAAGGGAGGUGAGACUUUUCUUGCUGCUGGGGUUGAAGUGAAGCCUGAUGUUAAGGUGGAAGUGACGGACUGUGUUGCUCAAAUUUUGAGUGAAUUUGCUGAUGUGAUGCCAUCAGAGUUGCCUAAAAAUCUGCCACCACAGAGGGCUAUUGAUCACAGGAUAGAGUUGAUGUCGGGUUCGAUGCUUCCUGCUCAACCUCAUAAGUCGUUGAACAAGGUAUUGAUAGCUGAAGGUGAUGAGUCUAAAACUACUUGUGUUACGAGAUAUGGCUCACAUUAAUUCCUUGUUAUGUCAUUCGGAUUGAUAUAUGCCCCUGCUACAUUUUGCCACCUCAUCAAUGAUGGGUUGUACGAGUACAUAGAUGUCUUUGUCGUUGUCUACUUAGACGACAUUAUUAUCUAUAGUCGGAAUUUUGAUGAACAUACGUCACACUUGAUAAAAGUGCUAUCUCGAUUGAGGGAGUACAAGUUGUAUUAGAAGUGUGAAUUUUCUUAGACAGGAGAUCAAAUUUCAUGGGCACUUGGUGAGCCAGAAUCAGGUGCGGAUGGACCCGUAAGAGGUGCAGGUCAUUGCAGAGUGGCAGGUGCCGAAAGCUAUGAAUGAAUUGAGAUGUUUCCUCGGGUUGGCUAAUUAUUAUAAAAAAUUCAUUGCUGGUUACUCAAAGAAAGUUGUUCCUUUGACGGAGGUGUUGAAGGAGAACGUUAAAGGAAAUUUGUCGGGAAAAUGCUGGGCUGCAUUUGGUGUGCUGGAUGAAGCCAUUGCCUCAGAAGCAAUCUUGUGGCUUGCUGAGUUUGAGUUACUGUUUGAAGUGCAUACAGAUACAUCCAACAAGGCUGUUGGAGGCGUGCUGGUUCAAGAAGGUCAUCCUGUGGCCUUUGAAAUAAGAAAGUUGAAUGAAGCAGAACAAAGGUAUUCCGCUCAUGAGGAGGAAGUCUUUGGUGUUGGUUAUUUCCUUAUGAGACUUGAGUUAGAUUUUGUUGAUAAAAUCAAGUCAAAUGCUAUGAAUGAUCCAUUGUACAUAAUGAACAUGAAUCAUUCAAAGGAAGGUACUAUGCAACGGUACUGGAUCGAGGGCAACAAGGUAUUACUUGAUAGAACCUUCGUUGCAAGAUAUGGUGGUCCGUUCGACGAUCAAAUCGAGGACUACUUGAGAUUAACCUCGACGAGCGUCGAGUUCAACUAGUGGGGGUGGUUUGUUAGACCCCUAAUAUUGACUUGACGGAUGUCUGGCAGAAUUUUAUGUCAAGGGCUUCUGUAUUACCCCUUGACAUGGGUUCGUUAAAGUGUUGGCAAGCAAUGUACAAGGCUGGGCGUGUGUCUAAGUUGGUGAUGGACUUAGGCAAGGCAGGUGGAGUGUUGGCAAGGCGGCCUUGGUUCGUGGGCAUCGGAAAAUGGCAAACGGAAGCAUCGCACUUGACAAAGGUAUGAAGGGAUCUGAGAGACGACUUAAUUAAUAGCAGGGCGUGGCUAUGAAAUUAAGGGCGAGACAACUUCCAAGGCAAAGCUGGGCUGGAGCAUGCGCGGAUCUGUGGAACGACUUAAUUUAUAGCAGGGCGUGGCUAUGAAAUUAAGGGCGAAGCAAGGUCCAAGGCAAAGCCGGGGGGGAGCAUGCGCGAACCGGUGGGACAACCUAAUUCAUAGCAGGGCGUGGCUAUGAAAUUAAGGGUGAGGCAAGGUCCAAAGCAAAGCUGGGCUGGAGACAAAGAAAAUGUGGGCAAGUCUAGA
rnacentral:lncRNA from 1 species